rnacentral:rRNA from 1 species
GGAAUAUUGGGCAAUGGACGCAAGUCUGACCCAGCGACGCCGCGUGAGGGAUGAAGGCCUUCGGGUUGUAAACCUCUUUCAGUGGGGAAGAAGCGAAAGUGACGGUACCCAAAGAAGAAGCACCGGCUAACUAUGUGCCAGCAGCCGCGGUAAUACAUAGGGUGCAAGCGUUGUCCGGAAUUAUUGGGCGUAAAGAGCUCGUAGGUCGUUUGACACGUCGGAUGUGAAAAUCUGAGGCUUAACCUCAGACCUGCAUUCGAUACGGUCAAACUAGAGUGUGGUAGGGGAGACUGGAAUUCCUGGUGUAGCGGUGGAAUGCGCAGAUAUCAGGAGGAACACCAAUGGCGAAGGCAGGUCUCUGGGCCAUUACUGACACUGAGGAGCGAAAGCGCGGGGAGCGAACAGGAUUAGAUACCCUGGUAGUCCGCGCCGUAAACGGUGGGCACUAGUUGUGGGAACCUUCCACGGUUUCCGCGACGCAGCUAACGCAUUAAGUGCCCCGCCUGGGGAGUACGAUCGCAAGAUUAAAACUCAAAGGAAUUGACGGA